GUGUGCCCAGGUCCGGCCGAGGCUUCAGGAGGUGGUUGGCACCCUUGGUGCACUCAGCAACAGGGAGAUGUGGAGGCUGAUCCUCAGAGUGACAGUUGGAACCAUCCAACGCCACAGUGGAGACUUGACCCUCCAGAAAUGUUUACGGAGCAGCCACCAGCACAAGGCCAAGGUGAGGGCCCUGAAAGUCCCAGGAAACCCCAGGAGGGGUGUCUUACCCGCUUGUGACUAUGUUUCAGGGAAAAAAAAAAACUGACCAAGAAAAGGGAAGGGGAGGGAGGGAGGCUGGCCCUGGAACACACCUGCAUGGAGAGUUCUGGGCCUUUCCAGACACUGCGCAGGACAACAUGGGCCUAGAGUAUGUAGACCGGCAUGUCCUCAGUGAGUCCCAGGAACAGGAGUUCUGCAGGUCUGAAGAGGUUUUGUGGCCACAUGAAUCUGGGGAGCUUUAAAUGAGUUGAUCCAGGGCUUCUCAGAGCCUUUACCUCCUGACCAUGAUCAUAACGGCCUGCACUGACCACAGCCCCAGCACUAUUCACGUACCAGCUCAUGUCAGUCUCACAACUCUAUGAAUGGGUGCAGCUGCGACCCCACUUUGCAACUGAAUAAACCAAGGCUCAGAGAAGUGAGUGACCAGCCCCUCCCCGGUCAAGAAUCCCUGAGAGACGGAUGGGAGGAGAACGCAGGAAUCUGCAGCCUUGACCUCUGUCCACAGGGCUGGGGCAGGGGGCGCAGCGUGGAACACAGUCUUCCCACCUUCAGCCAUUAGUCUGGCCUGUCCCAUGUCAUCCCAGAGCUGUUGCUGGGACCAGAUUCCAUGGGAUAUUUGAGAACUGGCUCUGGCACACCAAGGAGCGAAUGCAGGUUGACAGGUGUCUGAGCUGCGGGAAGCUCCCGGGCUGUGACUGGCCUGAAUCCAAAGGCGGGAGUCAGUCCCAGGGAAUCCAGAUGCACUGGUGGGUGGGGCCCGAGUUCCACCUCCCAGCCCUGCCCUGGGCCACCUGGAAACAGGUAGCUGAGAAAAGUGGGCUCUGCUUUCUCCUCACCGCCACCCCUGGCUCACCCCCAGUUCUGGAACAUCCCAGCCAGAGGCAGAAAGAAAUUUUCCAUUGAUUGGGCUCAGCCCAGAGGGAUAAAGAUGCUCAUCACUCCAGGCAGCUGCCCCCCCCUCUCCCCCUCCUGGAGCUCAGUCCCACCCACCGUCAUUUCUGGCUUGAUUCGAUGCUUUGUCUGGAGUCCUCAACAGGUGCAUGAAUCGGGAACGUCACUCCCAGGGGACUUUGCCAAGAGACCAUUCCCUCCCAGGGAGAGGGGCCCGUGGCCUCGGCAGAAGAAUAUCAAUCGGAAUCCAUGGUGGGAA
rnacentral:lncRNA from 1 species